rnacentral:SRP_RNA from 1 species
ACUGGGUGUGGUGGCAUGCACCUGUAAUUCCAGCUACUCGAGAGUCUGAGGCAGGAGAAUCGCUUGAACCUGGGAGGCAGAGGUUGUACUGAGCCAAGAUCGUGUCACUGCUCUCCAGCCUGGGCAACAGAGUGAGAUUCUGUCACCAAAAAAAAAAAAAUCCCAGUUACUUAGGAAGCUGAGACAUGAGAAUCACUUAAACCUGGGAGGCAGAGGUUUCAGUGAGCUGAGAUUGCACCACUGCACUCCAACCUGCGUGACAGAGUGAGAUCCUGUCUCA